GAUGAACGCUGGCGGCGUGCCUAAUACAUGCAAGUCGAGCGAACAGACGAGGAUCUUGCUCCUCUGACGUUAGCGGCGGACGGGUGAGUAACACGUGGAUAACCUACCUAUAAGACUGGGAUAACUUCGGGAAACCGGAGCUAAUACCGGAUAAUAUAUUGAACCGCAUGGUUCAAUAGUGAAAGACGGUUUUGCUGUCACUUAUAGAUGGAUCCUCGCCGCAUUAGCUAGUUGGUAAGGUAACGGCUUACCAAGGCAACGAUGCGUAGCCGACCUGAGAGGGUGAUCGGCAACACUGGAACUGAGACACGGUCCAGACUCCUACGGGAGGCAGCAGUAGGGAAUCUUCCGCAAUGGGCGAAAGCCUGACGGAGCAACGCCGCGUGAGUGAUGAAGGUCUUCGGAUCGUAAAACUCUGUUAUUAGGGAAGAACAAAUGUGUAAGUAACUAUGCACGUCUUGACGGUACCUAAUCAGAAAGCCACGGCUAACUACGUG
rnacentral:rRNA from 1 species